rnacentral:rRNA from 1 species
UUAUAUUUGCCGGAAUGCCGAACAAUGCUAUUAUGCAAGUCGAACGCUUUUUCUUUCACCGGAGCUUGCUCCACCGAAAGAAAAAGAGUGGCGAACGGGUGAGUAACACGUGGGUAACCUGCCCAUCAGAAGGGGAUAACACUUGGAAACAGGUGCUAAUACCGUAUAACACUAUUUUCCGCAUGGAAGAAAGUUGAAAGGCGCUUUUGCGUCACUGAUGGAUGGACCCGCGGUGCAUUAUCUAGUUGGUGAGGUAACGGCUCACCAAGGCAACGAUGCAUAGCCCACCUGAGAGGGUGAUCGGCCACACUGGGACUGAGACACGGCCCACACUCCUACGGGAGGCAGCAGUAGGGAAUCUUCGGCAAUGGACGAAAGUCUGACCGAGCAACGCCGCGUGAGUGAAGAAGGUUUUCGGAUCGUAAAACUCUGUUGUUAGAGAAGAACAAGGAUGAGAGUAAAAUGUUCAUCCCUUGACGGUAUCUAACCAGAAAGCCACGGCUAACUACGUGCCAACAGCCGCGGUAAUACGUAUGUGGCAAGCGUUGUCCGGAUUUAUUGGGCGUAAAGCGAGCGCACGCGGUUUCUUAAGUCUGAUGUGAACGCCCCCGGCUCAACCGGGGAGGGUCAUUGGAAACUGGGAGACUUGAGUGCACAAGAAGAGAGUGGAAUUCCCUGUGUAGCGGUGAAAUGCGUAUAUAUAUGGAGGAACACCAGUGUGCGAAAGCGGCUCUCUGGUCUGUAACUGACGCUAAGGCUCGAACGCGUGGGGGAGCGAACAAGAUUAUAUACCCUGGAUAGUCCACCCCCGUACACGAUGAGUGCUCAAUGUUGGAGGGUUUCCCCCCCCUCAUUGCUGCAGCACACGCAUUACGGACUCCGCCUGGGGGAGUGAGACCGCAGGGUAGACACUCACAAGGAGUUGAAGGGUGUGCCGCUCACAACGCUGGUGGAGCGUGUGGUUUAAUUUAUUAGCAACGCGAAGAACCCUCACCAGUCUCGACAUCCUUUUCGACACUCAACAAAUAGCACUUCCCCUUUCUGGGGCAAAGAUGGACAGCCGGUGGAGAGGAUUGUCGUCAGCUCGUGCUCCUGACGAUGGUUGGGAUUAACUUCCCUCAAGCAGCGCAACCAUUGAUUGUUUAGUUUGUCGAUCAAUUCAUCGGCUCACUUCAUGCGAGAACUGCCGGUGACGACCUGAUGAAGUAGAAUGACGUCCAAUCAUCAUGCUCCGUGACGACUGGUCUUAACGAACGUUUGUCUGUACAG